CCGGCAUUUUUCUCUAAAUCGGCAGUAAAUACAGCUGAGUAAAAUUAGCUUGGUUUUCUUCCUUCUUUUGUAACUGAACUGUUUUUAUUAAAAAUUCUAUUUGAAUAUGUAGAAAAAGUGGGGAUGUCCUGUAAUAUAUCGUAGCUUUUCUUGUUUACAGGGUGCUCAGAAAGCAUGCGUCCCUUAGAGUCCCACAGAAAGGUUCUCAGUGCGCUCUCUAUCAAGGUAUGUAUUUACAAAUAAGUGAUCCCUUUAGAUAUUUGCCUGUGUACCUUUUCCUGUAAUUCAGAGCUUGCGUUCUGUGGGUUGUAUGAUAAAGCUGUAAAACAUGUAAGAAUGGUUUUGCAAGUCUGAAUCGUUGAAGGCAGCAAUAAGUGGAUUUAGAGCCUGUUCUUGAGCAGACAAAGGGAAAAAGUGUGACUCUGAUGCUGAACUUGUCAUUUUUCAUUUGACUUGUCUUGAAUGAUUUAGGAAUAGAGAGAACUAGAAAAAGAGAGAAAUAGAAUCGAUUAUUGAGCAGUCCUCAAAUGCUCACCAUAAUUCAGUGUAGAGCCAAAGGGAAGGGUGAUGGAACAGAGCUCUGUGCUUUGGAAGGAAAUAAAUUUAAACCUGAUCUCCGCACAGAGUCUCACUAACUUCUGUGGUUUUAAAAUACAAAAUACGUUUAGGAAGUGUUGGAAGUUAGUAUUUUGGGAAAGAAACGGCAGUUCCACAGAACAUUCCAUUUCACAGAGGCUCUAGGAAGGAUUCAUGUUGUAACUGCUGUCACUGCAAUCAGUUGGUGGUUCAGCCUUGAAACGUGCACUUGGCCUUCUAUAAAGCGCUGUUUUGUUUGCCUUUCAUUGCUAUGAGUCUUGAUAAAUUGGAGAAGAGCCCAAGAGAAAUUUUUCAUCCCUUGAUAUAAAAGGGAUCGGUGAAUUUUAACUUUGGAGUCCUCUAUGCUAAGGAUGCUCAGCUUACAGAUGAUGAAAUGUUCAGUAAUGGUGAGUUUUUCACGUUCUCUUUAAUUGCUGUGCUGAUCUGAAUAAGAAAAAAACAAAAGCAAGAGGGAAAAAAAAGGAUGGUUUAUUAUUUUUUACGCUGUUAUGUUUGUUUCCUCAGUAUUUGCUGCAGCUCUGCUUACCCAAGCUUUGUGUUCCUUCUGUCCCACUGGGAGUUGCCCAGUUUGGUUGCAUCUGGUGAAAUUCACCCUGAGACCUUACACAACUAGCUCAAACUACGUGAGAGCCAUUUGCAGUUCUCUCCAGACACCUGGAGAAUGGGUGACGUUUCUGAGGGUCUGGCAAGUGUACUUCUAUCAAAACUCAGUCUGUGAAGUUUCUGGGGAAAACCCUUCUGUGUCCUGAAGGGUUCAAACUCCUGUGAGGAUCCAUUUAUCAGGUGCUCACCUGGAUGGUUCCAGCUCUUAAAGUGAACACUUGUACUCUUACCCUGUAGUUUACAUCUAUUGUAUUUUUGUUAUUUUGCAAGAUUUUUUGUCUUUGCAAAAUAUUGUGCAUUUCACUCUUUGGAACCUCUCAGAUGGUUCUUUGGUGCAGCACCACCCCAUGGGACACUUGGCUGCUGUCCUGAAGGGGAUGGUCACUAGAAUUGUAAAUUCUGGAGAGUUUAUAAGUCUUCUGUCCCCAGGGAGGUACCAUGCUUUGUUUACUUUUGUUCUGUUUGUUAGGCGCUGCUUCUCGUUGCAAGUAUGAAUUUCAAACUGCCCUGUUCUUAUUUUAACUGUUUUCCUGGUUCUCUCCGUCCGACAGGGAAAGACUCUCAUAUCCUCGUCGUCGGGCUCGGUGCUGUCCAAGAAGAUACAGAGACUAAAAAAAUCAUAAGCAGCAAAAUAUGACUGCAGGGAAAAGAAGCUGGAGAGAACAGAAUGUGAUAUUGUUAUCCUUACCCUGUAUUAGAAACAUCCGCUGUGCCUUGAUGCUGGCAGCUGCCAGGGGCUUGUUAGCUCUUUGUAGGCAGGUGUAGGUGUUCACUUGUAGGUUUUUUCUCUGGACAAGUCAAUUCAAACUUUGCUAAGCUUAUAUAUGCAAAUUACUCUCUAGCACAGUCCAGCAUGACAUUUUUGAAUGUUGUAAAAAUACCAUGUUACUUGGAAAUUGCUAAUGAUGAGAAGCUUUAGGGGAAAAUAAGAUGUCAGUGUUGGGAGAUGUGAGAAGAAUUUUGAGGGGAUGUUAGACUGAAAUAAAGCACACUUGAAGCUGGACUGGCAUGCUGGCAGAUCCCCUAUUAAACAGUAGUGCUGAGAUUAGCCUGGGGGUUGCCCAUUGUUUCUGUAGAAAUAAAUGUUUUCUGGUCUUCAGAAGUAAGCUGCUUUGAAAAGCUGGAAGGCGCAGCAUAGUGACAAUCCGUGUGCUUCGCAUUAAAAAUAGAUUUCAGAAGGGUCCUAGGCUUUUGUCUUUUCCUAGAAGUCGAUGUAAUCCUGUCGAGGAGUUUUUAAUUCUGUGCUGCCAUGUCAUCAAUCAGGGCCCUGUCGUACUAAUCAUCAUACAGAUGCAAAACAAAAAAUCAGACCCCGUCCCAAGCACUUAGAGCCCAGAAUACGAUUUCCUCAGGCUGCCAUUUGUGUGCCAUCGGUACUCACCAUGGAAGCGAGCUGGGGAUUGUUGCACCCGUUGGGAACAAACCGCUUCUUGUCACACAGAAAUGGAAUUGGGACGACGCCUCGGCCAGCCCCUCUGUGCCAUCGUCUCCUGAAUCUGCAGCAGAGCAGUUCCAGUCCAUCCGGGCACGUGCAAUCCAGUUCCUGAUGAUCUGAGCACACGGAGCAGUGCUCAGCUGCUGUGGGGGGCUCAGGGAAGGCAGAGUGUGCAUUGUCAUCUUCCUGAACCUACAGACAAAUCAAAACCCUCAGUGAGCAGAAUUUGUUGCAGACUCAGUGCACGCUGUGCCGGCCUCCCGGGAGUGUGAGGAGCUCAUGUGUGCUACUUUUUGCUUUAGGACGCUCUGAGGUAUUUAUUCCUUUUGGGAUACGUGAUGA